rnacentral:rRNA from 1 species
UGGGGAAUUUUGGACAAUGGGCGCAAGCCUGAUCCAGCAAUGCCGCGUGCAGGAUGAAGGCCUUCGGGUUGUAAACUGCUUUUGUACGGAACGAAAAAGCUCUCUCUAAUACAGGGGGUGAAUUACGGUACCGUAAGAAUAAGCACCGGCUAACUACGUGCCAGCAGCCGCGGUAAUAAGUAGGCAGCAAGCGUUGUUCGGAGUUACUGGGCGUAAAGAGUGCGUAGGCGGUUUUCUAAGUUCGGUGUGAAAUCUCCCGGCUUAACGGGGCGGGUGCGCCGAAGACUGGGAAGCUGGAGUGUGGGAAAGGCAGGCGGAAUUCCUGGUGUAGCGGUGAAAUGCGUAGAUAUCUGGAAGAACACCAGUGGCGAAGGCGGUCUCUUGGUCCGACACUGACGCUGAGGCACGAAAGCGUGGGGAGCAAACA